GACGAACGCUGGCGGCGUGCUUAACACAUGCAAGUCGAACGGAAAGGCCCUGCUUUUGUGGGGUGCUCGAGUGGCGAACGGGUGAGUAACACGUGAGUAACCUGCCCUUGACUUUGGGAUAACUUCAGGAAACUGGGGCUAAUACCGGAUAGGAGCUCCUGCUGCAUGGUGGGGGUUGGAAAGUUUCGGCGGAUGGGGAUGGACUCGCGGCUUAUCAGCUUGUUGGUGGGGUAGUGGCUUACCAAGGCUUUGACGGGUAGCCGGCCUGAGAGGGUGACCGGCCACAUUGGGACUGAGAUGCGGCCCAGACUCCUACGGGAGGCAGCAGUGGUGAAUAUUGCACAAUGGGCGGAAGCCUGAUGCAGCAACGCCGCGUGCGGGAUGACGGCCUUCGGGUUGUAAACCGCUUUCGCCUGUGACGAAGCGUGAGUGACGGUAAUGGGUAAAGAAGCACCGGCUAACUACGUG
rnacentral:rRNA from 1 species